rnacentral:misc_RNA from 1 species
GUGAAUCAUCAAAUUUUUGAACGCACAUUGCGCUCUUUGGUAUUCCGGAGAGCAUGCCUGUUUGAGGGUCAGUCUAUAUAACAAUCGGUGUGGUUGCGGACUUUCGUGGUGACGCAGCGGAUUUGGGUCGUCUUGUUUUCGGUUAAGUGAUGUAAAAUGCUUCAUGUUUUUUUUUGAACGUAUUUAAAUGAUUUUAUGUACGUUUGCGAUAUCGAUUACUAGGUGUGGUAAUACUUAAGCUUUGCGCA